rnacentral:rRNA from 1 species
UACGAAGGGGGCUAGCGUUGCUCGGAUUGACUGGGCGUAAAGGGCGCGUAGGCGGUUCGUACAGUCAGACGUGAAAUUCCUGGGCUCAACCUGGGGGCUGCGUUUGAUACGUGCGGACUUGAGUGCGGAAGAGGGUCGUGGAAUUCCCGGUGUAGCGGUGGAAUGCGUAGAGAUCGGGAAGAACAUCGGUGGCGAAGGCGGCCUGCUGGGCUGUUGCUGACGCUGAGGCGCGACAGCGUGGGGAGCAAACAGG